AGGAAAUGCACUCGCCGUCCACCCAUCCCCAUCAUCCCGGUCCCGAAACAGCUGGCGGCGUCUGCCACGUCGGACCAGAGUCCAGCCAUCAUCAAAAUGUCCCAUGUCAGUGGGUAAGGCCUUAUCAUGGUAGACAGGAUCCUUGUCAUUUUCAAGAUCAUCUUGGGUGGCUGUCUCCCUGCUUUAGGAGCCACAUUUUGCAGACUCUCCAACCCGCGGAGGAACGACCGAACGGGUGGGUCUUCGGAAGUGUUGGCGCACCACUUCCGCAAAGGAUCUGGAUUGGGGACCGAAAUGACGGGGGUCUUGGGUGGAGGCCCUGGCCGGUUAGGUAAAGGGAACUGAACCUGUCUCCCGAAGGAAACAGGAAAUGCACUUGCCGCCCACCCAUCCCCAUCAUCCCGGUUCCUGGAACGGCUGGCGGUCCCGACGGCAGCGUCCGCCACGUCGGACCAGAGUCCAGCCGUCAUCAAAAUGUCCCAUGUCAGUGGGUAAGGUAAGUAUGUUUGAAAUAAAAUAAAAUUGUGUUCUAUGAAAAAAUCGUUUUCUUAAGAAAUA